rnacentral:lncRNA from 1 species
AAGCAUCAUUCAUGACUUCAUCAUUAUGUAAUUGUUUUGUCGCAAUUGAAAAUCUUGUAUUUCUCUUCAGUCCUUGACCUUACUCGCUGAUCAGAGCCGUGCUCACCUUAUCAAUUUUGGAGCAUUGGCCCCAAGUCCCCUAUCACAUUAGUACAUUUUGAGACCUUUAUAUUCAUAAAUCAUAUAAUCAAUAUAUGAUAA